AUGGGACAGUUUUUGUUUGUAGUUUGUUCCCAGAAUUGUUGCAGGCAGCUUGAACAGAAGCUGUGGUUGCAGCUCAGAGACACAGGAUCUCUGAAAGUCUCUGAACACACAUGGCAGCUCAGGUCCAGUAGGAGAUGCAGAGGAUGGUCUGGGUCCAUUAUCCACAGCAGUUCACCACAGCAGCAGUCAUCAGGAUGGAGGAAUCCAGUCAGGUUGUGACUCAAACUGGAUUCAAACAGCAAUUAAGAAUUCUCUCAUCAAGGCACCUGCACCACUCCCUGUGCAAAAAAGACAAAACAAAAAACCCAAUAACAUAUGAUUUCUGUUUUUAAGUGUUUUUAAGAUAAAUACAGUUAAAGGAGGUGAAAAUGUGGGACAAACAUUAACCCAUAAAGAAAAGGCAGAGGGUUUGGAUUAAACAUGAAAAGAGAUACAGCUGGGCAAAAGUUUAGUAGAGAGAAAUUGGUUCUCCUCAAAGUUUAGUUCAGUAGUGCUGAGCUAAUGCUAUGCUGUGAUCAAUGCAUCGACAAAGUAUGUGUGAGAAACCACAGUAUCAAUAUUAGGUUGCACAGUAGAUGCACAGAGUCACAUAUAAGGCCAAUGACAAUAUUUUAGGUGGGUCGAGUAUCUAAAAAUUGUACUCAACUAAGACUAGCAUUACUUUGCAAUAUUGUUACUCAAGUAAAAGUGAAAAGUAGUCGUCCAAAAAAUUACUGAAGUAAGAGUAAAGUAGUUGGUGAAAAGACUAAUCAAGUACUGAGUAACUGGUUGUAAUGUCUGAUUUAUUUUUCACCUUAAAAAAUGCUAUCAUACAAACAAAAAUAAAUAAAUAAAUGAAUAUACAAAUCUUAGUAUUUUCAAAUAGAAUAUGUAAAAACAUUAACAAAAUAAGGCACAAACAUUUGAAUUUCCAGAUUUCAGUUUUUCACAACAUAAAGCUUUUUAACCAAUAACUACAAUAAAUAAUAUAAAUAUAUGAACAGUGCAAACCAUUUCCAGUGACAAGAUGUGCUGUAUACAUUACAUUCACUUUUACUCCAAAUGGCACAGCAGCCUCAAUGAAUUAAUCUAAAAAGCUGCACUAGAAAUAAAUAUCUACGGCCUGGACAGCGAUGCACAUCGCAAAUUAGCUCGAGUAGACAUAUUAGUUGUGCCGCUUCUUAAUGACAGUAUCUUAGCUAACAACCCCAACUACCAGAUUCAACUUGUAAUUGGCUAAAAAUCACUUAGCCUACUGGUGAGAGGCGUUACUAGCUGACAGUUUUUCAAGCAAUGUUGAAACAUCCACACUCCAACACUUCAAAUGGUAAAAUGGCCUGUAUUUGUAUGGCGCUUUACUCGUCCCUAAGGACCCCAAAGCACUUUACACAUCCAGUCAUCUACCCAUUCACACACACAUUCACACACUGCCACAGCCACCCUGGGGCGCACUGAAAGAGGCGCUUCGUGCUUCAGGUGCUGCACACUCAGCGCAGCAUCAGCACCACGAAAUACACAGAUACAUCCGAAGACUCAAGACAUAAAUCACUCUGCGUUUUCAGGACUUUUGGGUGUAUGGACCAAUGUUUUCUUUUCUGAUCAAGUAAGAAAGCUUUAAUGAGCAGCUGGAUGUGUCUCUCUUUAACUGGCAGGACACAGAAGACAUCGAAAUUCAGCUGAUUGAACUAAAAAGCUCGACUACCUGACAAUUCUUAAGAACAUUGCAUUAUUGACAGUAUUAGGCUCUACAUAUUUGCAUGAGGAGAUUUUCUCUCACACAAAGAGUGUUCUCAGCGCAUCCCAUAGCUGUAGGAAUUUUAGACACUCAGGAACCUGUGUCUCUGAGUGGGAGACCAAGAUCACAGACCAGAGCAGUGUCUCCUUUACACGCGCUGUGACAGUUUCACGCUCUGGCGGACACCUCCCUGCUCUCGGAGAGAAAUCCUGCUCAAGCGAGUAAAUUGACUUUUAACAGUUUGAAGGUGGAGCGCAAACGAGGACGGGGUCCUAAUGUGAGUUACACUGUGGCAGCGACAGAAAUGCUGUUUUAAACUGUAUUUGUUUACAAUUUGAAAAAUAAAGUUUGCUGAAUUCAUUGUUAACAGUUAUUGUUUGCGUGCAGCGGUGGAAAUACAGACAACUGUCACUGGAUUAUUUAAUGUUGAAGAAAUCUUUAAACCAGAGGAUUCUAGUUCUGAAGCCUCUGCACUACAGUGACACCAGAGAGCAGAGACAUUUUAACCAGUAGAGUUUUGGCCAGAUUCUUUCCCCGCAGGAGAGCUUUGUGGGUGUUGGUCGAGGCCUCUAC
rnacentral:lncRNA from 1 species